rnacentral:tRNA from 3 species
UAGGCAGAAGUCUGAUGGUUUAGGAUGCCUAGCUGUUAACUAGGACUAUCGUGGGAUCGAGGCCCACCUGCCUAG